AAUUCGGGACGAAAGCAUAUGUACCGUUGAAUCCAAACUACAGUUCAAAAAUAUUUAAACUCAGUUAUUAUUAUUAGGGUGUGAAGCCUUAUAUAUUUUUACUCUAAAUUAUUUUUUAUUUGAUGUGGGACAAUAACAAUUAGUACGUUAUAUAAAAAGUAUAUUAUAAUCGAUUCUAAGAUAUACGCAAUCUGAUACAAAUUAAAAAAAACGACACACCGUGUCGACUAUAAUCUCUCCAUAUUUCUAAACAGAGUCCUGUAUUUUCUGACCUAAAGCUGAA
rnacentral:lncRNA from 1 species